rnacentral:rRNA from 1 species
CAUGCAGUCGAACGAAGCACUUUAUUUGAUUUCCUUCGGGACUGAUUAUUUUGUGACUGAGUGGCGGACGGGUGAGUAACGCGUGGGUAACCUGCCUUGUACAGGGGGAUAACAGUUGGAAACGGCUGCUAAUACCGCAUAAGCGCACGGCAUCGCAUGAUGCAGUGUGAAAAACUCCGGUGGUAUAAGAUGGACCCGCGUUGGAUUAGCUAGUUGGUGAGGUAACGGCCCACCAAGGCGACGAUCCGUAGCCGACCUGAGAGGGUGACCGGCCACAUUGGGACUGAGACACGGCCCAAACUCCUACGGGAGGCAGCAGUGGGGAAUAUUGCACAAUGGGCGAAAGCCUGAUGCAGCGACGCCGCGUGAGCGAAGAAGUAUUUCGGUAUGUAAAGCUCUAUCAGCAGGGAAGAUAAUGACGGUACCUGACUAAGAAGCACCGGCUAAAUACGUGCCAGCAGCCGCGGUAAUACGUAUGGUGCAAGCGUUAUCCGGAUUUACUGGGUGUAAAGGGAGCGCAGGCGGUGCGGCAAGUCUGAUGUGAAAGCCCGGGGCUCAACCCCGGUACUGCAUUGGAAACUGUCGUACUAGAGUGUCGGAGGGGUAAGCGGAAUUCCUAGUGUAGCGGUGAAAUGCGUAGAUAUUAGGAGGAACACCAGUGGCGAAGGCGGCUUACUGGACGAUAACUGACGCUGAGGCUCGAAAGCGUGGGGAGCAAACAGGAUUAGAUACCCUGGUAGUCCGCGCCGUAAACGAUGAAUACUAGGUGUUGGGGAGCAUUGCUUCUCGGUGCCGUCGCAAACGCAGUAAGUAUUCCACCUGG